UACAGAGGGUGCUAGCGUUGUUCGGAAUCAUUGGGCGUAAAGAGCUCGUAGGCGGUCUGUCGCGUCGAUCGUGAAAACUUGGGGCUUAACCCUGAGCUUGCGGUCGAUACGGGCAUGACUGGAGUUCGGCAGGGGAGACUGGAAUUCCUGGUGUAGCGGUGAAAUGCGCAGAUAUCAGGAGGAACACCGGUGGCGAAGGCGGGUCUCUGGGCCGAUACUGACGCUGAGGAGCGAAAGCGUGGGGAGCGAACAGG
rnacentral:rRNA from 1 species